rnacentral:rRNA from 1 species
GAUGAACGCUAGCUAUAGGCUUAGCACAUGCAAGUCGAGGGGAAACGAUAGAGAAAGCUUGCUUUUUCUAGGCGUCGACCGGCGCACGGGUGAGUAACGCGUAUCCAACCUGCCCACCACUUGGGGAUAACCUUGCGAAAGUAAGACUAUUACCCAAUGAUAUCUCUAGAAGACAUCUGAAAGAGAUUAAAGAUUUAUCGGUGAUGGAUGGGGAUGCGUCUGAUUAGCUUGUUGGCGGGGUAACGGCCCACCAAGGAGACGAUCAGUAGGGGUUCUGGGAGGAAGGUCCCCCACAUUGGAACUGAGACACGGUCCAAACUCCUACGGGAGGCAGCAGUGAGGAAUAUUGGUCAAUGGGCGAGAGCCUGAACCAGCCAAGUAGCGUGCAGGAUGACGGCCCUAUGGGUUGUAAACUGCUUUUAUAAGGGAAUAAAGUGAGUCUCGUGAGACUUUUUGCAUGUACCUUAUGAAUAAGGACCGGCUAAUUCCGUGCCAGCCGCCGCGGUAA